rnacentral:sRNA from 1 species
AGAUUUGCAGAUCAAAAAAAUCCUCCAAAUCAGUCUUCCAAUGAAAGACCACCAUCUCUUCUUGUGAUAGAAACCAAAAAACCUCCACUUAAAAAAGGAGAGAAAGAAAAGAAAAAAAGCAAUUUGGAACUCUUCAAAGAAGAAUUAAAGCAAAUUCAAGAGGAACGUGAUGAGAGACAUAAAACAAAAGGCAGAUUAAGUCGAUUUGAACCUCCUCAGUCAGAUUCUGAUGGUCAGCGUCGUUCUAUGGACGCGCCUUCAAGAAGAAAUAGAUCAUCUGGUGUUCUUGAUGAUUACGCACCUGGCUCACAUGAUGUAGGAGAUCCAAGCACUACUAAUUUAUACCUUGGAAACAUUAAUCCACAGAUGAAUGAAGAAAUGCUGUGCCAAGAAUUUGGAAGAUUUGGACCGUUAGCCAGUGUGAAAAUCAUGUGGCCUAGAACUGAUGAAGAAAGAGCCAGAGAGAGAAAUUGCGGCUUUGUGGCCUUUAUGAAUAGAAGAGAUGCUGAAAGAGCUUUAAAAAAUUUGAAUGGAAAAAUGAUUAUGUCUUUUGAAAUGAAGUUAGGUUGGGGUAAAGCUGUACCUAUUCCUCCACAUCCAAUAUACAUUCCGCCUUCUAUGAUGGAACAUACGCUUCCCCCACCUCCGUCCGGACUGCCUUUUAAUGCGCAGCCUAGAGAGCGGUUAAAAAACCCUAAUGCUCCUAUGUUACCGCCACCUAAAAACAAAGAGGAUUUUGAGAAGGAAUUUGCUCGCCCUGAUACAUCGAAUGAUAGAGUUUGUUGUACGUGAAGGGCCAAUGUUUGAAGCUAUGAUUAUGAACAGAGAAAUCAACAAUCCUAUGUUCAGGUGUGCAUUUUUAAAA